AAGCACAAAGGUUUGGUCCUGGCCUUACUGUUAAUUUUUAUUAGACCUACAUAUGCAAGUUUCCACAACCCAGUAAGUAUGCCCUUUUAACUUCCAUUGAGUUUAAAGGAGCAGGUAUCAGGCACACUUCCCAAAGUAGCCCAUGACACCUUGUUUAACCACACCCCCACGGAUUACAGCAGUGACUAACAUUGAGCUAUAAAUGAAAGUUUGACUAAAUCAUAAUAAAAAGGGUUGGUAAAUCUCGUGCCAGCCACCGUGGUCAUAUGAUUAACCCAAAUUAACAGAAGAACAGCAUAAAGGGUGUUUAAGCAUUCAAUUCACCAAAUAAAGUUAAAGCUCAACUGUGCUGUAAUACUCCCUAGUUGAUAUUAAAAUACGCAACUUAAGUGACUUUACCCAUGCUGAAGACACUAAAGCUAAGGUAUAAACUGGGAUUAGAGACCUCACUAUGCUUAGCCGUAAACUGAGGUAAUUAAAUAACAAAAUUACUCGCCAGAGAACUACUAGCCGCCACUGCUUAAAACUCAAAGGACUGGUAGUGCCCUAGACCCUCCAAGAGGAGCCUGUUCUAUAAUCGAUAAACCCCGAUACACCUCACCCCUUCUCAUUUAUCAGUCUAUAUACCGCCAUCAUCAGCUCAUCCCAACAGGGUUCCAAAGUGAGCAAAAUCAUGAAAUCAUAAAAACGUUAGGUCAAGGUGUAGCAUAUGAAGGGGGAAGCAAUGGGCUGCAUUUUCUAUGUUAGAACACAAUGGAUUGUCUAUUGAAACAAAGACAUGAAGGAGGAUUUAGUAGUAAAUUAAGAAUUUUUAAGAAACUACAAUAAAUUAAACUGAACUUCCACAGAACAUUACUAAG
rnacentral:ncRNA from 1 species